rnacentral:rRNA from 1 species
UACAGAGGUCCCAAGCGUUGUUCGGAUUCACUGGGCGUAAAGGGUGCGCAGGCGGCCGUGUGUGUGAGGCGUGAAAGCCCGGAGCUCAACUCCGGAAUUGCACCUCAAACUACACGGCUAGAGCAUUGGAGAGGGUAGCGGAAUUCACGGUGUAGCAGUGAAAUGCGUAGAUAUCGUGAGGAACACCAGAGGCGAAGGCGGCUACCUGGACAAUUGCUGACGCUCAGGCACGAAAGCGUGGGGAGCAAAAGGG